AAAUCACUGGUGUAAUGUAUGAUAUUAACAUCUGCACCAAUUACUGUUAUAGGUGGAACCAAAGUUUUAAUCAAAGAAGGUGGUGUUCAGUUGCUGCUUACAAUAGUUGAUACCCCAGGAUUUGGAGAUGCAGUGGAUAACAGUAAUUGCUGGCAGCCUGUUAUCAAUUACAUUGAUAUUAAAUUUGAGGACUACCUAAAUGCAGAAUCGCGAGUGAACAGAUGUCAGAUGCCUGGUAACAGGGUGCAGUGUUGUUUAUACUUCAUUGCUCCUUCAGGACAUGGACCAUUACAUAACUGAAGACUCCCACCUUCAGGCAGGAUUGGGUAGUACGUGUUUGUAACUACCUGGCAUUGCCUUUUGUUGAGGAAGGGUAGAUGUCUACCCAAAUGGAAUAUUGAGUAUCAGAGACUUCAAAUGAUAACUUUUGUUUGUUUGGAGAAAAUCUUGAGGACGUGAUCACUGUACAAAAGCAUGGCAAAAUGAGGAAACCACUGACAGGUGAAGAAUUUGCACAAUGGAAAACCACCUUGACCAUCUCAUGACUUUAUACAGGAAUCGGAGACAUCCAAGGCCAUUCCAUUUCUAAAUCACACUUAUCCCUCAAUCAAGUCAGUGACUGGAUCAUCUCCUAAGGUUUCACCUGCUUUGCAUCAGGUAGGUGAGAUGAAAGUGAUUUUAUGGGUAGCUUUCAGAAAAAUGUACUGCACUGAAGUGACAAAGUUCUGUCUUGCCUGUUCU
rnacentral:lncRNA from 1 species